GGUGGGGUGGUUUGAGACAGGUGUUGUAUAUAGUGGUAGUGUUAGACAGGUGUUGUAUAUAGUGGUAGUGUUAGACAGGUGUUGUAUAUAGUGGUAGUGUUAGACAGGUGUUGUGUAUAUAGUGGUAGUGUUAGACAGGUGUUGUAUAUAGUGGUAGUGUUAGACAGGUGUUGUGUAUAUAGUGGUAGUGUUAGACAGGUGUUGUAUAUAGUGGUAGUGUUAGACAGGUGUUGUAUAUAGUGGUAGUGUUAGACAGGUGUUGUAUAUAGUGGUAGUGUUAGACAGGUGUUGUAUAUAGUGGUAGUGUUAGACAGGUGUUGUAUAUAGUGGUAGUGUUAGACAGGUGUUGUAUAUAGUGGUAGUGUUAGACAGGUGUUGUAUAUAGUGGUAGUGUUAGACAGGUGUUGUAUAUAGUGGUAGUGUUAGACAGGUGUUGUAUAUAGUGGUAGUGUUAGACAGGUGUUGUAUAUAGUGGUAGUGUUAGACAGGUGUUGUGUAUAUAGUGGUAGUGUUAGACAGGUGUUGUGUAUAUAGUGGUAGUGUUAGACAGGUGUUGUAUAUAGUGGUAGUGUUAGACAGGUGUUGUAUAUAGUGGUAGUGUUAGACAGGUGUUGUAUAUAGUGGUAGUGUUAGACAGGUGUUGUAUAUAGUGGUAGUGUUAGACAGGUGUUGUAUAUAGUGGUAGUGUUAGACAGGUGUUGUAUAUAGUGGUAGUGUUAGACAGGUGUUGUAUAUAGUGGUAGUGUUAGACAGGUGUUGUAUAUAGUGGUAGUGUUAGACAGGUGUUGUAUAUAGUGGUAGUGUUAGACAGGUGUUGUAUAUAGUGGUAGUGUUAGACAGGUGUUGUAUAUAGUGGUAGUGUUAGACAGGUGUUGUAUAUAGUGGUAGUGUUAGACAGGUGUUGUAUAUAGUGGUAGUGUUAGACAGGUGUUGUAUAUAGUGGUAGUGUUAGACAGGUGUUGUAUAUAGUGGUAGUGUUAGACAGGUGUUGUAUAUAGUGGUAGUGUUAGACAGGUGUUGUAUAUAGUGGUAGUGUUAGACAGGUGUUGUAUAUAGUGGUAGUGUUAGACAGGUGUUGUAUAUAGUGGUAGUGUUAGACAGGUGUUGUAUAUAGUGGUAGUGUUAGACAGGUGUUGUAUAUAGUGGUAGUGUUAGACAGGUGUUGUAUAUAGUGGUAGUUUUAGACAGGUGUUGUAUAUAGUG